rnacentral:lncRNA from 1 species
UGUGGUUCAUUCGGGGAGGUAAAGCUUGCCUGCCACCUUCCCACACGUAUACGGGUGGCUGUCAAGGUCCUUGAGAAAAACAUCAACAGCAUGGCUGACAUCACUUCGAAGGUGGAACUCCUUCAAUCUUUAGAACACAGGAACAUUGUUCGAUUUUUUUCACAUGAUUGACACACUGACAACAACUUAUGUGAUCAUGGAGUAUGUGCCAGGAGAGGACCUUGAGAAGUACCUCAGGGCACUGGGCUGUCUAAAAGAGGAAGAGGCUAGACCUGUUUUCCAGCAGGUCGUGUCAGCAGUGUACUUCCUCCAACAAAGACACAUUGCACAUCGCAAUAUUAAAUUAGAAAACAUUCUGGUCGAUGCAGCAAGAAAUGCAAAGCUUUCAGACUUUGGCAUGGCAAUUAAAACCACAGAAGGGCAGAUGUUGGAGGAGACCUGUGACUCCUUACUCUAUAGGGCCCCAGAGAUCUUGGCAAGGAAACCCUAUGAUGGGCUGGCAGUUGACAUGUGGAGCUUGGGCAUCGUCCUCUAUGUUCUGGUCACAGGGCACUUUCCAUAUGUAGAAGCCACCAUUGAGGAUAUGCACAGGAUCAUCACUACUACAAUGUGUCCCAUUCCUUACCACUUGUCAUUUCCGUGUCACAUCAUCAUUGCACGGUUACUCGGGGUCCCUACCUGGUUCAGGAUGACAAUACAUCAGCUUGUGGAACGACCAUGGCUGGGCCACAUCCAAGAUCAUGGACUGGUUGCCACAAAAGAAAUCCUUCCCAGGAUCAUAAACACAAUGUGCACCAUUGGCUAUACCUGUGAAGAGAUUGUGUCAUCCUUAACAAAUAGGCGACUCAAAGAUGAAGUAAUGGCAACAUUUAAUAUUUUAAAAUACCAACUGAGCUAUGGGGACAGCCAUCAGCAGGUGGAGAAGCCCUGGGCAAAUAACAGCCUUUCAGGUGUCCUUAUCCCCUUUCCCCACUUGAAGAGGAGAGCCAGUGAAUCUACCUUUUCAACUUGUAUAGAAGCUAGGAAGAGUCACUUUCAGGAUGAGAAUAUUGAAAGAAGAAGCAAGAGUUGCAUAAAUUCCCCCAUACUCACCCAAAACUGCCCAGAGAGGAUGCCCAAUUCAGAUGACCCAGUGCCAGAAAGUGAUGCUCUGACAGCUGAUGUCACUAACAGUGCUACAGGGGAUAUUGUAGUCAACAUAGAUUCCACGGACUGCAUGCCUGGUGAGCCGGUCUCUCCAGUAUCAGACUACGUUGGCCCCACAGCUUCUAAAUCUAGGUCACUUACAGUUUGGAGGCGAAUUUCCCGUGCUCUGAAAGCACUGUGCUGCUGCUGCUGCUGCUGUCUGCCCUCCCCACGGUGAGCCCAAAUUCCUGUGUUAGGUGCACCAAAGACAAGAUAGCAUAGUGAAGUCCCUUAGGAAACAAGCUGUAUUGGCUGCACAGAUUUAUACUUUCAGUGUGGUUAGGAGAUGCUAUUUAAUAUCCAUUGCAAAUGACAAGAUGGACCCUCUCAUAGGGCAAGAUCAUAAGGUGUCUAGCAUAUUAUAUGGCAGAAUUCCACAGCUUUGCCCUCAUUUAAACGUCUGGAGAGUUGAGUCACAAGCUGAUAGUGUAGAAUGGGGCAGAGUGGGUUGGAAGAGAUGAAGGACAGUUUGGGUAAAGGGGUAAAUUUCACAGAGGAGAAAGGAGGGUGAGAGCUUUGGCAGAUCAGGUCAGGUCAUGCUGAAUAAGUCCUGUCUCUGUCAGGGUCACUAAUACAUGCACUUUCUUAUUUCUUUUUUGCUUUGAAGUGGGGAAACCGAAAUGGACUAGGAGAAUUUCAGCCUUAUUGAAGAGAGACUCCACAGCAGAAAGCCAGGACAGAACUCCAUGGUGCUGUGCUUUUCCAAUACAUGGCAUCAGGCUUCUGUGUCUCUCUCGAUCUUUGGUGUGAACUGUCAGUGUGCAUCUCCUUCAUCUUACUCCAGCCCCAUCACUGCUU